AACGAACGCUGGCGGCAUGCCUAACACAUGCAAGUCGAACGAGACGUUCGGGUGGAGUGGCGGACGGGUGAGUAACGGGGGAGAACGUGCGUUUAGGGUCGGAAUAACUCCCAGAAAGGGGGGCUAAGACCGGAAAAAGUCGUCGGGCCAUAGAUUUAUCGCCAUUGGCUGGGCCCGCUUUGGCUUAGCGAGUUGGUAGGGGAAAAGCCUACCAAGGAGACGAUGCAUGGCUGGUCUGAGAGGAUGAUCCGCCACGCUGGGGCCGCGACACGGACCAGACUGCUACGCAAGGGAGCAGUGGAGAAUAUUGGACGCUGGGCGCAAGUCUGAUCCCGCCAUGCCGCGUGAGUGAUGAAGGCGUUAGUGUUGUAAAGCCAUUUUGCACGGGAUGAUAGUGACGGUACCGGGAGAAUAAGCUCCGGCUAACUCCGUG
rnacentral:rRNA from 1 species